AACGAACGCUGGCGGCAUGCCUAACACAUGCAAGUCGAACGAGACCUUCGGGUCUAGUGGCGCACGGGUGCGUAACGCGUGGGAACCUGCCCUUAGGUUCGGAAUAACUCCCCGAAAGGGGUGCUAAUACCGGAUAAUGUCUUCGGACCAAAGAUUUAUCGCCCUUGGAUGGGCCCGCGUUGGAUUAGCUAGUUGGUAGGGUAAAAGCCUACCAAGGCGACGAUCCAUAGCUGGUCUGAGAGGAUGAUCAGCCACACUGGGACUGAGACGCGGCCCAGACUCCUACGGGAGGCAGCAGUGGGGAAUAUUGGACAAUGGGCGAAAGCCUGAACCAGCAAUGCCGCGUGAGUGAUGAAGGCCUUAGGGUUGUAAAGCUCUUUUACCCGGGAUGAUAAUGACAGUACCGGGAGAAUAAGCACCGGCUAACUCCGUG
rnacentral:rRNA from 1 species